rnacentral:lncRNA from 1 species
UCUCCUCCUCCCUGCGCAGGAGGAGCGGGAGCCUCCCCCCACAGCCCGGGCAGCACAGAGGGUCUGCGGGGUCUGCCGCACCCGGCUUACCCGGCAGGUCAGCGCCCUUAGGUGGGCCAGGAUCUUGCGGCUGUCCAUGCCCCGCUGCAGGAGGUAACCACUGCAGGUCUGAAAGCAACCACAGCCCAGCGUCCAGACACACGGCCACGGUGUGCACUCCAGGGGCGAAGCCGGUCGGAGUGUGCAGUGGCAGCCAGAGGCCUGGGGGCUUCUCGGCAGGAGGACCCCACAGCACCCCUUCAUGGGGAGAGCCUGGGGGCUGGGCUGCGAUUCAGAGUCCCCGGCUGUCCUGGCCAUGGUCAGCUGGGACGCCACGGAUCGAGGGGCUACACCCAGCCUGGUGGACCCGUGGAGGAAUAUGGGGAAGUCGGGCAUGUGGGGGUCCGUAGGCGGUCAGGGGUCCGCGCUCGGGCCCAGGCUACCCCCAUCCACCCUGCUGGUGGAUGCACUGGAGACCAGGAGAGGCUGGGGGAAGGUCGUGAGAUGAGCAGCAGAGGCCCCUGGCCGCCCAUCCACGAAUGAACCCAUGCGCUCCCCGUCCGACCCCGACCUGCCCCAGAGACGAGAGCCUGUCCGGCCCCCCGCAGUGCAGGUACCUCGAUGGCCUCCGCGGCAGAAGGCCGCUCCUGGGCGCUGCGUCUGGCCAUGUGCAGGAGGAGCGUCUUGAGCCUGCGUGGCAGGGCCAGCUUGCGGUCUCGGGGGACACUGAACUUGGCGGCCGUCCACAGGACCGCAGCCACGCAGUAUACGGAGGCCUGGGUGGGCAGAGGGGCGGGCGGCGGGCUCAGAACUGCCCACAAGCGGGGGGCGUCCUCAGAGCUUGGAGCCCCACCACAGAUGGCAAGCUGCACACCAGGCUCUGGCCUGGGGCUCUGACCAGUACCCACAGGCAUCAGAGCCUCAGCGUGAGCAGGAGGACCUGGGCCCCGGCCACACCUUCCAGCUUGCUCUCCACGAGGGGAAGGUGGCCCUGCGGGGGCCCGAGGCCCAGAGCUCCCCGAAACCCUACCGUGCUGCUAAACGCUGACAACAGGCUCCCUGAACAAAGCACGUCCUCCCGGUGCCCACAGAGGUCUGUUUUAUAA